GUGAAUCAUCAAAUUUUUGAACGCAAAUUGCACUCUCUUGUAUUCCGGAGAGUAUGCCUGUUUGAGGGUCAGUUUAAAUAAAAAUCUGUGUGUUCGCUGCCUUUCGUUGUGACGCGCCUGAUUUGGGUCGUCUUGCUUUCGGUUAACUGCCCUAAAAUUUUGCAUUAUUUUUCCGUACGUUUUUAAUUUAUUUUGCGUACGUUUGCUAUUUCGUAUACUAU
rnacentral:misc_RNA from 1 species